UGACUGAGCGGCGGACGGGUGAGUAACGCGUGGGCAACCUGCCUUACACAGGGGGAUAACAGUUAGAAAUGACUGCUAAUACCGCAUAAGACCACAAAACCGCAUGGUUUGGUGGUAAAAACUCCGGUGGUGUAAGAUGGGCCCGCGUCUGAUUAGGUAGUUGGUGGGGUAACGGCCUACCAAGCCGACGAUCAGUAGCCGACCUGAGAGGGUGACCGGCCACAUUGGGACUGAGACACGGCCCAGACUCCUACGGAAGGCAGCAG
rnacentral:rRNA from 1 species